rnacentral:lncRNA from 1 species
CUGGGGCCUCAGCUGUCCCAGCUGCACCAGCCGAGCUGGGGCCAGGGCUUUCUGCGUUCUGGGUGUGGCACCCCUCCAGGGCUGCGUGUCUGUUUUGCAUACUGAGGUACUAGGUAAGGCUUCCUUUGAGACCAGGAUGUUUGCUACAAACCUGCUGGAAAGCCACUGGCCUUCUUUUCCAGGGCUGACCCUCUCUUUCUCCACGAGCCGCAGGAACCCGGUUCCAAGGUGCUUUACGAAGAGAAAUGUAUUUUGCUUUUCCUCCUCUCAAGAAGGCAAGUCAUGCUUGUUCUCCUGGAGGACUGGGGCAUCCCACUUCCUCCUCCACUGGAAAAGAAACUAAGAGAGGAGCUUUGUUUAUUUUAUUAUUUCUCCAGCGCUUGGAGCAGAGCUGGGUAUAUGGUAAGUACUCAGUAAAUAUUUCUGAACAAAUGAAAUGUCUUC